rnacentral:tRNA from 1 species
GCUCCAGUAGAGUAAUCUGGUUAUCUCGCUACUCUCUCAAAGUAGAGACUGCCGGUUCAAAUCCGGUCUGGAGUGC